GACGAACGCUGGCGGCGUGCCUAAUACAUGCAAGUCGAGCGGACUUGAUGGAGAGCUUGCUCUCCUGAUGGUUAGCGGCGGACGGGUGAGUAACACGUAGGCAACCUGCCUGCAAGACCGGGAUAACCCACGGAAACGUGAGCUAAUACCGGAUAUCUCAUUUCCUCUCCUGAGGGRAUGAUGAAAGACGGAGCAAUCUGUCACUUGCGGAUGGGCCUGCGGCGCAUUAGCUAGUUGGUGAGGUAACGGCUCACCAAGGCGACGAUGCGUAGCCGACCUGAGAGGGUGAACGGCCACACUGGGACUGAGACACGGCCCAGACUCCUACGGGAGGCAGCAGUAGGGAAUCUUCCGCAAUGGGCGAAAGCCUGACGGAGCAACGCCGCGUGAGUGAUGAAGGUUUUCGGAUCGUAAAGCUCUGUUGCCAGGGAAGAACGUCCGGUAGAGUAACUGCUAUCGGAGUGACGGUACCUGAGAAGAAAGCCCCGGCUAACUACGUG
rnacentral:rRNA from 1 species